rnacentral:rRNA from 1 species
UAAGGAAUAUUGGACAAUGGAGGCAACUCUGAUCCAGCCAUGCCGCGUGAAGGAAUAAGGCCCUAUGGGUUGUAAACUUCUUUUAGACGGGACAAAACCCCUUUACGUGUAAAGGGUUGAUGGUACUGUCAGAAUAAGCAUCGGCUAACUUCGUGCCAGCAGCCGCGGUAAUACGAAGGAUGCAAGCGUUAUCCGGAUUCACUGGGUUUAAAGGGUGCGUAGGUGGGUUGCCAAGUCCGUGGUGAAAUCUCUGAGCUUAACUCAGAAACUGCCGUGGAUACUGGCGAUCUUGAAUAUCGUUGAGGUAAGCGGAAUAUGUCAUGUAGCGGUGAAAUGCUUAGAUAUGACAUAGAACACCUAUAGCGGAGGCAGCUUACUAAGCGAUCAUUGACGCUGAGGCACGAAAGCGUGGGGAGCAAACA